rnacentral:rRNA from 1 species
UACAGAGGGUGCGAGCGUUGUCCGGAAUCACUGGGCGUAAAGGGCGCGUAGGUGGUUGGGGAAGCGUGUGGUGAAAGCCCGGGGCUCAACCCCGGGUCGGCCAUGCGAACUGCCCGACUGGAGCACGGUAGAGGCCAAUGGAAUUCCGGGUGUAGCGGUGGAAUGCGUAGAGAUGUGGAGGAACACCGAUGGCGAAGGCAGCCCCCUGGGUCAACACUGACGCUCAGGCACGAAAGCGUGGGGAGCAAACAGG